rnacentral:lncRNA from 1 species
CAUACUUCUUGCAGUCUUCUCUCAUCGAUGGCCAGUAGUAACCUGCACGGAGAGUCCUCGCGGCCAGAGCUCGACCCCCGACGUGGCUUCCGCAUAUACCUUCGUGGAGCUCUGCCAUGAUUCUCGUGCAUUUCUCGCCAUGUACACAUUCCAGGAGUGGGUGAGUGAACCCAAACCUGUACAGAUCGCCAUCAAUCAACGUGUACUUGCUAGAAUUUUUCUUUACCUUCCUAGCUUCUGUCGGAUCCAGUGGGAG